rnacentral:rRNA from 1 species
AGUCGAACGAGAAUCUAUGGAAAGAGGAUUCGUCCAAUUGAAAUAGAGGACAGUGGCGGACGGGUGAGUAACGCGUGAGGAACCUGCCUUUCAGAGGGGGACAACAGUUGGAAACGACUGCUAAUACCGCAUAACACAUAGGAGUCGCAUGGCUCUUAUGUCAAAGAUUUAUCGCUGAAAGAUGGCCUCGCGUCUGAUUAGCUAGUUGGUGAGGUAACGGCCCACCAAGGCGACGAUCAGUAGCCGGACUGAGAGGUUGAACGGCCACAUUGGGACUGAGAUACGGCCCAGACUCCUACGGGAGGCAGCAGUGGGGAAUAUUGGGCAAUGGGCGCAAGCCUGACCCAGCAACGCCGCGUGAAGGAAGGAGGCUUUCGGGUUGUAAACUUCUUUUGUCAGGGACGAGCAGAAGACGGUACCUGACGAAUAAGCCACGGCUAACUACGUGCCAGCAGCCGCGGUAAUACGUAGGUGGCAAGCGUUGUCCGGAUUUACUGGGUGUAAAGGGCGUGUAGCCGGGUCGGCAAGUCAGAUGUGAAAUCCACGGGCUUAACUCGUGAACUGCAUUUGAAACUGUUGAUCUUGAGUAUCGGAGAGGCAAUCGGAAUUCCUAGUGUAGCGGUGAAAUGCGUAGAUAUUAGGAGGAACACCAGUGGCGAAGGCGGAUUGCUGGACGACAACUGACGGUGAGGCGCGAAAGCGUG